GUCCUUUAGAAUUUAAUUAUAGGUCUAGCCUGCCCACUGAAUUUUAAAUGGCCGCAGUAAUUUGACUGUGCAAAGGUAGCAUAAUCAUUAGUUUUUUAAUUAAAAGCUUGUAUGAAAGGUUGGACGAAGUAAAAUCUGUCUCUAUUUAAUUUAAAUUAGAAUUUAACUUUUAAGUUAAAAGGCUUAAAUUUAAUUAAAAGACGAGAAGACCCUAUAGAUCUUUAUAAUUUAUUUAUUAAAUUUGAUUAGGAAUAUUUUUAAUUUUAUUAAAAUAAUUAUUUUAUUGGGGUAAUAUAAAGAUUAAAAUAAUUCUUUUUUUAUGUAAACAUUUAUUUAUGGUUUUAAUGAUCCAAUUUUAUUGAUUAUAAGAUUAAGUUACCUUAGGGAUAACAGCGUAAUUUUUUUUGAGAGUUCUUAUCGAUAAAAAAGUUUGCGACCUCGAUGUUGGAUUAAAGAUUAUUUCAGGUGUAGAAGUUUGAAAAUUUUGGUCUGUUCGACCAUUAAAUCUUUACAUGAUCUGAGUUCAGACCGGUGUAAGCCAGGUCGGUUUCUAUCUUUAAUAAGUUAAAAUAUUUUAGUACGAAAGGACCAAUUAUUUAAUAUAAAAUAUUUAAAUUUUGAUUAUUAUUAA
rnacentral:rRNA from 1 species